rnacentral:rRNA from 1 species
GGCUCAGGAUGAACGCUAGCGGCAGGCCUAAUACAUGCAAGUCGAGCGGUAAGGUCUUUUCGGAGACACACGAGCGGCGCACGGGUGCGUAACGCGUAUGCAACCUACCCCUUAGAGAGGGAUAGCCCAGAGAAAUUUGGAUUAAUACCUCAUAACACUUCGAGAUCGCAUGGUUUUGAAGUUAAAUGUUCCGGCGCUAAGGGAUGGGCAUACGUGACAUUAGUUAGUUGGCGAGGUAACGGCUCACCAAGACUACGAUGUCUAGCUGGUCUGAGAGGAUGAUCAGCCACACUGGCACUGAGACACGGGCCAGACUCCUACGGGAGGCAGCAGUAGGGAAUAUUGGACAAUGGGGGCAACCCUGAUCCAGCCAUGCCGCGUGAAGGAAGACGGUCCUCUGGAUUGUAAACUUCUUUUAUGGGAGGAUAAACCCGUGCUAUAUGCACGGCUGAAGGUAUCCCAUGAAUAAGCACCGGCUAACUCCGUG